GCUGCAGCAGAACCUGGACUGCGGUGAGCGAGCGCGGGGCUCGCUGCCCUGGGGCUGGGCUGGCCCCCGCGGGCCGGGCGAGGGUGGGCCCUGAUCUGGCCCCACCGAACCAGGCCCCCAGAGGCAGCCCUGGAAAGCUCUCCAGACCCCCGUCCAGGCCUCUGACCGCAGCGGGAAGGCACACGUGCUGGGAGACGACGAGACGUUCCCGUCUGCCAGCCUCCCCAAUCGCACCUUCCACAAGCGACAGGAGGCCACCAGCCUGCUGCAGGCCUGGGAGCGGCAGCAGCAGGAGGAGCGGCGCCAGGCUGAGCUGCGGCGGGCCCGGGAGCAACGGGUGCAGCAGCAGGUAGCCCGCUGCCUGGCCACCUACGGGUCCCGCGCAGGCCGGAGGCCCUGGGCCAACCAGCGCAAACUGGAGGAGCUGAGGUAGGCAGCCUGGGCUGAGAGGGCUGGGUGGCGGGGAACGGCUGGGGCUGGUUGGGGGUCGGAUUCCAGAACCCAGCGGACCCAGCCCUGACCACACUGGAGAGCAGUCUGAUGGCUUCUAGUCAACUCUAAUCCCUCCGCCGCCAAAGGCUCACGGUGAAAAUCGUGUAGGCGCCAAUGACACUUUCCCAUCCUGUUUUCCGAUCUGCAAGGCCAGAUAUGCUUGUCAUAAAAUAUGGAACUGGUUACCGUGGGACCUGCACGGCCCCUGUCGCCCUACUCCCGAGCCAGCCAUUGCUCACGGUCAAGUGAGAGCCAUCUGUUGUAUUCUCUUCCUAGCUUUGUCUAAGAAGUGAACUCACAAGUCAGGCAAAUUUUUAUUUCCUUACUUGUCGGAGAGACAGAUCUCUCAUCUGCUGGUUCACUCCUCCAAUGCUUCCAGCGGCCAGAGCGCUGGAGCCAAGACCCAGAACUCAGUCCAUGUCUCCUGUGGGGGUAGCAGGGACCCAAGCAUUCGAGCCAUCAGCUGCCUUCUCAGGGUGCGCACUAGCAGGCAGCUGGAAUUAGAAGUGCAGCCAGGAUUCGGCCCAGGCACACUGAUGUGGACGCUGGCUCCCAGGC
rnacentral:lncRNA from 1 species